CCUUUCUGUUGGGUUUAGAGUCUGAAUAACUCAGAUAUUUUGUGCCUCCAUCAACUUCUUCUCUUUUGAUUAUCUACUGAGAUUGGAGUUAAACUAUGGCACUACAUUC